rnacentral:rRNA from 1 species
AAUCAACGCUGGCGGCGUGCCUAACACAUGCAAGUCGAGUGAGAAAAGGGGAGCAAUCCCCUGAGUACAGCGGCGCACGGGUGAGUAACACGUGGGUAAUCUGCCCUGGAGUGGGGAAUAACACCGGGAAACCGGUGCUAAUACCGCAUACGAUCACAGAGUCUGCGGAUUUUGUGAUGAAAGGAGCAAUUCGCUCUAGGAGGAGCCCGCGGCUGAUUAGCUAGUUGGUGAGGUAAUGGCUCACCAAGGCAACGAUCAGUAUCCGGUCUGAGAGGACGGUCGGACACACUGGAACUGAGACACGGUCCAGACUCCUACGGGAGGCAGCAGUGGGGAAUUUUUGGCAAUGGGGGCAACCCUGACCAAGCAACGCCGCGUGGGUGACGAAGUCUCUUGGGACGUAAAACCCUUUCGACGGGGACGAAAGCCGCAAGGUUUGACGGUACCCGUAGAAGAAGCCCCGGCUAACUCCGUGCCAGCAGCCGCGGUAACAC